GUUAUUAAAAGUGUGUAUUUUAUUUAAUAUUGAAGUAUUUAUAAGUCAUAGUCCGGCUCUCUCCAUUAUUUUCCCCUCUUUUAAAAGUGUCUGAGGGUUCAUGUGACAAUUUUUAACUAAUUAAGUAAAUAUGCAUAUACCAGCAGGUACGUUUAACCUAUGGAAGACAAAAUAGAGUCAGACUGGUUGGGGAUUUUUAGUAAUUUCAUCGGUUACUAAAAUCCAAAGGACUUCAUAAUCAGAAAGACGCCAAGUCCACGUUGCAACCAAGAUGGAGAGAAGAAGGGCACCUUUUUCUGGCUACUUUCCGCUCUGCAGUCUUCACUUGAAGGGUGACCUUUCAUAAGGAAACAUGGUAAAGUGGAAGUUCCGUAUUCCACGGAGAAGUGAAAAUGUGUGGCCACGCUUACACAAAGAAAUUAAAUAAGUCCAUUAUCUUCGCCACUUAAGAUAAGGCCAGAAAUUUGAAUCAGUUCAAAGUUUUGAAGACAAGUAAAACUCCAAUUUUUAAUAAUAACGCGAUCCAGCAACAACCACUAGGAUGUUCUUACAUUAGUGGAAAAUUAGUGGUAACUGAAACAGGAUGGAUUAUUGAUGAUACAAAUUCCUCAACAAAUUUUACUUGCUCCGUACGGCCUAACUUUAUGAAGCCAGCGAGAUAUGAAUGAAUUUUGGACGAAUCUCAUCCCCCGUCGUGGAUUUGGACGAGAACGAGUAAAAAUCUGGAUUAUCAUGCUCACUGAAGAAUUUCAAGAUGCUGAUUUCACAAAUAUGAUGUCAUUUCUCCGCUCGAGGGUCCUCUGCCAUUUCCAUCGAGUAUCACCACCAAGUACAUCAUGAAAAACUGGACGCCACGCCAAACUCAGCAAGACAUCGUCGACACACACCGUGGGAUCGCACCGCACAUAAUAAAAAAUAAGUAAAUUUUUUGGCGAGUAUACUUUUACUCAUGUAUCGAAUUUUAAAAUUAUUUCUUUUUUGCUUACAUCAUUUUUUUCUUCCAUUAGCUUACUUUCAGAGUGUAUUUACUGUUUAGAAGGGUAGCAGUAUUUUUAAGAGUGUAAUAUCUACAUACAUAAUUAUAAAUAGAUAAUAUUUAGGAUAGGGUGCGAGAUAGGAUCUAGUUUGCAUCAAAUUAAAAUUGCUUCAUUUGUAUUGAAGCAAUUUACGCAAGAUAUAUUUCAUUAAAGAAAUAUAAGUUUAUUUUAACAAAGUGAAGGGAAUUGGGAAUGGAAUAGGUUCGAAAAAUGUAUCACCAAAAAAAUAUGUCUGUCUAGCCCCUAAUUUACUUAGGACGAGAAAUGUAGCGAAUGCGACGCAAACCUGCAUAAUAUUUUACGUGUUCAGGUAGAAAAAUUGCAUUAUUCGUAUUAAUGCUGUUUUAGUGAAACUUAAUCAAUUAGUGAGUACAAUUUUAAUCUCACUUGUAGCAAAAUUGAAUAAUCUUUUGAGGUAUCUGCUUAGUUAGGUAGUCCAAAUUUUGCACGAGUCACUCAAAUCUUGCAACCGCUCAAAUACAUAAAUAAAUGAUGUGAAUACCUUAUACUAUGGGUCUUAGAAUAUAUGAAGUCUUCUGAUAAUCUAGCCUAUCUACAAAAAUAGUACUUACCGAUAUUUAGUAAUUUACUUAGCUUCACAUUGAAGCUGAUUUGUAUCAAAUUAAGAUUGCGUUAAUGGUAUUAAUUAAAUUUUUAAGAAAUAAGUGACGAAAAUAUUUAUAAAUUUAUCCUUUAAAAGUUGAGAUGGACAUUAAGAAAAAAAUGAGUUAGGUUUAAGAUUCAGAUAGAAAACUAAAGUUGCAAAAAUACUGAUUGACUAUGUCUCCUUUUAAACACGUACAAUUAUUCUCAACUAGCCAAACACGUGUCACAUUGUAACGUUGAUAUGUGUAGUUUGCAAAUAUUUUAUUAGAUUCGUUACGAGAAGUUGAGACUGACCGUACGAAAAAAAACGAGUUAGGUUUAAGAUUCAGAUAGAAAACUAAAGUUGCAAAAAUACUGAUUGACUACUCUCGAAACAUUGCACAAUUUAAUUUGCGAAAUAUUUAUGAACCCCACAACAAUGAAUUAAGUUAGUAUUAUUUGUAUUAAUGCAAUUUAAAACUCGUCUAUAUUGUUACGGAAACCCAAUUUAAAUAUCUGCCCACGAAGUCUAAAAACACAGGAGCAAUAUAGAAUCGAAAAAUGAUACCCUAACCGCUGCUGAUUUAUAGUAUAAUAUUAAUAUUUUGGUAUAUGUCCGUUCUUCGGAGAUUUGAACAUUGAUGUUUUCAAGAACGGAAAUGGAAUUUUUUUCUUAUCAUUAAUCUUAAUUAUAUCUACACUUAAUUAAAGUGGAUUAGGACAAGCUGAUGCAGAUGGGGGAUAUAAUGUAGUACUCGUCAUAUUUAGUUUUACAUUGAAGUCGAUUAGCAUCCAAUUAAGAUUGAAUUAUUUGUAUUAAUUCAAUCUUGAAAUAUAUAAGUUUACCAUGAGACGAAAAUAUUUAUAAAUUUAUGCCCCAAAUUCAGACGAACAGUAAGAAAAAUGGUUUAGGUUUACCAUUUAGAUAGAAAACUAAAGUUGCAAAAAUACUGAUUAAAAUUCCAAUUGUUCAUAACGUAAAACUAGUGUUUGAACGAGCACAGAUUACAUCGUAUCCGUGACAUUGCGAUUCUUGAAGAUUUUUUAACGUUUGCAUGAGUCUUUUGAAUUUUCACAAGAGAUAAAAUAAUCUAUAGGAUGAAACACCAACUAUGUAUACUGUUGGUAUAGUAUUCUUUUGCUUAUAUACAUAGCUUAAUAUAAAAUUGAAAUUUAGGUAAAAUUUAUUACACGCGUCACGUAAUUCUGAUCUGUUCACUGAUCAGAAUUACGUGCAGAAAGCUAGGAUAUCAAUAGGAUCGAUAAAUCACCAAUAAAAAACAAAUGUCUAUAAGCAUCCACUAACUUUACAAAAUUGUUUUAUAAUAUUUAUAUCAGGGUGCCCUUGGUCUACUUUUUAGUAUUUCGCCAACAUCCGGAUGCAUACGAUUAGGUGCCGAUUUGCAUUUUAUGAUUGCAUUAUUUGUAUUAAUGCAUAUUUUAGCUACACUUUUUUUGCUAGAAAAUAUGAUUAAUUGACUAACCGGGUAGACAUGUAAGGAUCUCAAAAUGAUCACCAACAAAGAAAAUACGCACGAUCAGCCCCUUCAUUGAUACUUUUUUCAAAUGCUUUAAAUCUGUUAGUUACGCCCACGACGUAUUCAGACAACUCUCGACAUUAACAAAGAUUAAUCCACAUGGUAACGAGCCAUUAAUUAAGUUUGUAUUGUUUGUAUUAAUACAAUUUAAAACUCGUUAAUACCGUUCAGAAAACCACAUUUUAAAAUUUGCUCGCAAAGUAUUCCGAAAAAGGUGCAAUAAUUCCCUACUUGCUACUUAUUUACUCUACAAUUUAGCUGAUCCUCAAGCUGGACAAAUAAAGUUUGUUAAUAUUGUGUAAAAAUAAUAAUAAACCAUUAAGCCGCAUUCAAUGCGUAAGAUACUCACAAACUAUCCCAAAAUGUCCCUUUGAGACAAUAAAUGCUAAAAUCAUUACAUGCAAGCGGCUACAGAGUUCAUUUCAGGUUCACUGUAUUUUGUAACUAUCGCACACUUGUUGGCUUUAUUAUACAUUUGGGGAGUUUGAUUCUUCAGGCAGAUCAUUAAGAAAAUGAUUAAUUUUAGGCAAUUGGUUCCCUCAUAAUUAACUAAAGAUUUCUAUAUGAAUUGCAAUUUUGCAACAUGUAUGUAGUUGUUUCAACAAACUUACUUGGUUUUAUACUCUCUAUUAUAUUUAUAACAUAUAGAUAUAGGUAAUUAUAUUUAUAUAUUUAUAACAUGUAUAUACUUACAAAUAAGCGAUCAUUAUGUAUGCGUAGUUUAGGAAAUCACAUAUGCACAUUAAUUCUUACAUAUUUAUGUCUGAUAGUAAUAUAAAUAAAUGUAUUUUUGUGAUAAAGUAUAUGUAUAUGUAAUAAAUGUAGACUUCUGUAAUGCUUCGUAUUUAACCCAAUUAUGUAUUCAUACUCUUUUUGUGUAUUUAAUGAGUAUGUACAUGUUUUAUAAUAAAAUGAAAUUCCCGUGAAAAAUAAAGUGUCGCUUAUGAAAUACUAGCGUA